ACGGGUGAGUAACACGUGGAUAACCUACCUAUAAGACUGGGAUAACUUCGGGAAACCGGAGCUAAUACCGGAUAAUAUUUUGAACCGCAUGGUUCAAAAGUGAAAGACGGUCUUGCUGUCACUUAUAGAUGGAUCCGCGCUGCAUUAGCUAGUUGGUAAGGUAACGGCUUACCAAGGCAACGAUGCAUAGCCGACCUGAGAGGGUGAUCGGCCACACUGGAACUGAGACACGGUCCAGACUCCUACGGGAGGCAGCAGUAGGGAAUCUUCCGCAAUGGGCGAAAGCCUGACGGAGCAACGCCGCGUGAGUGAUGAAGGUCUUCGGAUCGUAAAACUCUGUUAUUAGGGAAGAACAUAUGUGUAAGUAACUGUGCACAUCUUGACGGUACCUAAUCAGAAAGCCACGGCUAACUACGUGCCAGCAGCCGCGGUAAUACGUAGGUGGCAAGCGUUAUCCGGAAUUAUUGGGCGUAAAGCGCGCGUAGGCGGUUUUUUAAGUCUGAUGUGAAAGCCCACGGCUCAACCGUGGAGGGUCAUUGGAAACUGGAAAACUUGAGUGCAGAAGAGGAAAGUGGAAUUCCAUGUGUAGCGGUGAAAUGCGCAGAGAUAUGGAGGAACACCAGUGGCGAAGGCGACUUUCUGGUCUGUAACUGACGCUGAUGUGCGAAAGCGUGGGGAUCAAACAGGAUUAGAUACCCUGGUAGUCCACGCCGUAAACGAUGAGUG
rnacentral:rRNA from 1 species